rnacentral:rRNA from 1 species
CUAUUCGAUGAAAGUUUUUGUUUUUUUUUGAAAUUUACCUUAUAGGGGUUGUAUAAAAAUUUUUCUAAUGGUUGGUGUUAUAAAGAAUUUGCUAUAGGGACUAAGGACAAAGUUUGUGCCAGCAGUCGCGGUCAUACUCUAUUUAUUUAAUCAAUUUAUGGUCUUAAGGAAACUUUAGGGUAGAUAGUUUGUAAAGUGAAAUUUUUUAACUUUAUUAAUUUUAGCCUGAUGGCUAGUAAUUAUUCUUAAAACUAGGAUUAGAUACCCUAUUAUUUUAAGUUUAUUUUUAAAGUAGUAAAUUAUGUUUUUUAAACUUAAUUUUUCUGGCGGUUCACUACUCUAACAGGAGGAGCUUGUCAAAUUAGAUUGAUAACCCGCUUUUAUUUUCACCAUUGGUUUAUCUUAUGUACGGCUGUUAAGCUUUAAGAUUUAGCUUAUUGUUUUAACUUUUAAAAGCUUAGUUCAGGUCAAUGUGUAGACUAUGCUGUGGAUUUUGAUGAGCUACUUUUAUUAGUUUUAGUAUUUGUCUUCUUUUUAAAUUGGAUUUGUUAGUAAAGCUGAAAUAAAACUUUAGCUUGGUGUAGACUUUUGGUGGAAGUACAUAUCGCCCGUCACUCUUUUGAUAGAUAAGUCGUAACAAAGUAGAAAUACUGGAAGGUGUUUCUUGUUU